rnacentral:lncRNA from 1 species
GGGUACAACUGAUUCUAGGGACAAUUCACAAUUAUGUGUCCCCUCUGUUCACAUAAACACAUUCAUUAAUUUCACACUUCCCAAAGUGUUAAUUUUGUACCUGCUGCACAAAGUACAUUUCCUUUACUCGAGACACCUUGUCUCAAAUAUCUGGGAUUACCAGUAUAUCCAUCACUUUUAUUCUGACCAGCGACAUUAAAACCUCAGCUGGAAGAAUUAACUCUAGCUUCACUUCUUUCGAAGCUCUGAAUCCUUCGAUAUUUUUGAUAUGACGAAUCAUUAACUUUAUCGUCUUCUUUUAAUUCCCAUUCUUUUCUUAUUCCUCUUCACUCUAGCUGAUCAUAUUCUCAGAGUCCUCAAGGCUCAACAACAUCUUGUAUACUCUUGGUAAGAAUUACAAUGGAUAGUGGUCACCCAAAAUACCACUUCCCUUUUUUUUUUUUUUUUUUUUUGCCACCCAGCUUAAAACAACAUAACACCUCCACUAAAUUAACAACAAUAUCUGGAUGGAACGAGGCUAGUCUGAAAACUUUCUAUAAUAUCCCUCGAUCAUCACCUUCCUUGUCUCAUAUUUGUAAACUCUUGUUUACUACCAUCGAUAAAUGCCGGAGGGAUAAACUUUUCCUUAAACAAAUCCU